rnacentral:tRNA from 1 species
GGAAAGGUGGCAGAGUGGUCGAAUGCACUGGUUUCGAAAACCAGCAGACUCGAAAGGGUCUCGAGGGUUCAAAUCCCUCCCUUUCCGCCA